AUAGCUGGUUGCAUUAACAAAAAGUUAGUGUAAGAUCGACUCUGUCGAAUAAAAUUCUAGAUAGAAUUAUGAUAAUGACAUUAUCUAUCUAUGUGUCUUGACCAAAUUACGUGCCAGCAGUCGCGGUAAUACGUAAAAGACUAGUGUUAUUCAUCUUUAAUAGGUUUAAAGGGUACUUAGACGGUAAAUAAAGCCCGAAUAGGGAACUAAUAUACUAGAGUUUGAUGUAAGGAAGCAUGAAAGUACUGUUGGUGUAGAGAUAAAAUUCUAUCAUACCAAAUAUGGCACAGGUUUAGGCGAAAGCAUCUUCUUAUGUAAUAACUGACGUUGAAGGACGAAGGCUUUGUGUCUCGAACAGGAUUAGAUACCCCAGUAGUCUAAGCAGACAAUGAUGAAUGUCAUAGAUUAGAUUUAAUUAAAUUUAUUCUAUAAAUGAAAGUGUAAGCAUUCCACCUCAAGAGUAAUUUGGCAACAUUGGAACUGAAAUCAUUAGACCGUUUCUGAAACCAGUAGUGAAGUAUGUUGUUUAAUUAGAAGAUACGCAAAAAACCUUACCACAAUUUGAAUUAGUAAUAUGUUUUCACAAGCGUUGCACGGCUGUCUACAGUUAAUGUCGUGAGAUUUUGGUUAGUUCCAUUAAAUUAACGCAA
rnacentral:rRNA from 1 species